CAAUAACAAAAACAAACAUGACUCCACUUACGGAGUAUUUACUAUAUUUUGUACUUGCACUAUUUUUCAUGGGCUUUCUUGCUUUUGGAAAUUUUUAUGAUAUCUACAUGAAAUAUAUUGAUUCUGCACAAGAAUUUAUGGAGACUUAUGAAAGUCCCAUAAUUUUGUUUUACCUCUCCUCUGUUUGCUACGCCAUAUAUCAUGCAUGGACUAAUGAUCAGGAAUAUGAGGCAUGAAAUGCAGUAAGAAGGUUGUAUUUUUUUUUAUUAAAAUAGAAACUGAACGACUUCUGUUUGGUAUGAAGUUCCAAUUUUUUAAGGAUUUGUAUUGCACUUUUUGAUAUAUCUUUUUCAAACAUUUGUUGAUCAUUUCAUGCAUUGGCUUCAUUUCAAAUCAUGUGCAUUCUUCAACUCUACUAAUUUUGAUUCAAUAUCUUCUAAGAACACUUUUGUAAUUUGUAACAAAAUGUAUAUUUGAAGACUGAUUUUUCUAAUAGUAGAAAUUCUUGUUUUUAACUACAUAGACAGUUAAACAUUCAAAUAAAGUAUAACUCUUUUAUACUUAAAUAACAGAUUUAUAUAAGCCUGAAAAAAUACAUUGAUACAUAACUCAUUUUAUAAGUAACAUGCCUCUUUUCUAUAUUUAUUUUAUAUCUUCUUUUAAUAUUUUAUAAUCAAUAUAUUUUAGCUUAAUGUGUGAAGCUAAUCUGAUGGAAUAUAGAUGUUUUGCCUUAAGUACAAAAAAGUAUGACUGUUAGAUUUCUCUUAUAAACUUUAUUGUAAAAAGUCUAAGGAUGUUUAAAUAUUAUGUAAUCAUGUUUGAUUUUGGCCUAAAAAAAUAUGCUUUGAUGGUCAAAUGCAUGAUCAUGUGGAGAGAGAUGAAAAAAGGAUAAUUUUACCAAACUACUUUUUUUUUUAACAUGUAGGACAUUUACUCAAACGAUGGGUGCUGGUUUAAUUAUUAAAGAAAAUAGAAUUGCUAAUGAGUUAACAUUAAUUUUUUUUUCAUAUAGGCAAAAUAAUUAAUUAUAUUUUUAAAAAUUUAUAUCGGAUCACUAGAUACAAUUAAUUAG